GACGGAGGAUGCAAGUGUUAUCCGGAAUCACUGGGCGUAAAGCGUCUGUAGGUGGUUUAAAAAGUCCACUGUUAAAAAUUGAAGCUUAACUUCAAAGAUGCCGUGGAAACUUUUAAACUUGAGUAUGAUAGGGGUAGAGGGAAUUUCCAGUGGAGCGGUGAAAUGCGUAGAUAUUGGAAAGACCACCAAUGGCGAAGGCACUCUACUGGGCCAUUACUGACACUGAGAGACGAAAAGCUAGGGGGAGCGAAUGGG
rnacentral:rRNA from 1 species